UGCUCAGAUUGAACGCUGGCGGCAGGCUUAACACAUGCAAGUCGAGCGGUAACAGAGAUAGCUUGCUAUCUGCUGACGAGCGGCGGACGGGUGAGUAAUGCUUGGGAAUAUGCCUUUGAGUGGGGGACAACAGUUGGAAACGACUGCUAAUACCGCAUAACGUCUACGGACCAAAGGGGGGGAUGCUUCGGCACCUCUCGCUCAUUGAUUAGCCCAAGUGAGAUUAGCUAGUUGGUAAGGUAAUGGCUUACCAAGGCGACGAUCUCUAGCUGGUUUGAGAGGAUGAUCAGCCACACUGGGACUGAGACACGGCCCAGACUCCUACGGGAGGCAGCAGUGGGGAAUAUUGCACAAUGGGCGAAAGCCUGAUGCAGCCAUGCCGCGUGUGUGAAGAAGGCCUUCGGGUUGUAAAGCACUUUCAGCGAGGAGGAAAGGUUAGUAGUUAAUAACUGCUAGCUGUGACGUUACUCGCAGAAGAAGCACCGGCUAACUUCGUG
rnacentral:rRNA from 1 species